UAUAGUGUUGUUCUGAAGAACUGAAUUUGAUUCGUAAUAUUUUUUUGCAUUAACGUAUAUAGAAUCGCCAACUUUGCAUGUGUACGCCAAAGUUUCCUAGAGGUGUUUUCUCUUACAUGUUUACAAGAAAUGAUUAUUUAUUAUGAGAUAACUGAUAUAAUUUAUCAUUUGUUGAUAAUACCGUGGAACAACGGAACCAGCAGCAGUAUUCUCAAAUGUACAAACGUAGCGUAUAUGGUAAACUUCCGCUCUAAUCGGUGCUAGGAAACGUCUUGAGUUUGAGUUAAAUGUAAUUAUCUUCACCCUUCACUUUGAGUAUACUUGAGAUGAAGUUUAAUAGCAAUAUCAUUUUGGUAUCUUCAGAUCUAAAGACAUCAAUAGCCGUCGUACUGAAUAGAUGAACCCUAUUUAGUUCUGCCAGGGACCUCGUUAAAUAGUUUUUGAAGUCAUCAGAGUUUUUUUUAUUUCAAUAUAAAACUGUGUUGACGUAAGACUUGCACUUUCGACGUAUUCAUCCACAGCAUAUCAUCACCUUGGCACAAUUUCACUGUUUACAUUUUUGUCGCAGUUGUAAGGAAGAAAUGAUCUAGAACAGAUUGUGAUAGGUAUAUCCUGAGGCAGUUGUAAGGAAGAAAUGUCCUAGAACAGAUCCCUACAGCUAUACUGGGAUGUAAUUGUAAGGAAAAAUAUCAUAGAACAGUUAAAUGAUAUUCCAAUGACAUAUUAUUAUGACAGUUUAAAGAGAGGUUUACACCGAUCUCAACUGUACUUCUUCUUCGGUGUUUGACCAACACGAUGGGUAUUGCAAGCGAAGAUGGGUGAUGUUUGCUGUUUAAAGGGACAUUAGCUACGAGAUUUACACAAAUUUAAAAUAUGAUUUCUUUUUGUUCAAUCAUUAAUGAAAGGGAUAUAGUGAAAUAAUAAUUCCAUUGUAGCAGCCACUAAGGUUUAAUUUUGUUAAAAUAAGCUAAGAGACAUUGCUGAUGAAUUAUUCACUUGCAAGUGAAUAAUUCGACCUCAUUGAAUCCGUAUUCAUGUGACCUCCAAUUUAACCCCUUAGCUGGAGAUGGCUUACGCAUGUAUUCAGCUAUUAAAAGGAAAAGAAUGUCUAUAUUGAAAGUGAAACAAGGAUGAGCCAUUUGAAUGAGUAAAUCGAUCCAUAAAAAAUCAUUGUUAUACAAGGUAAAAACGAUGAUAAAACAUACUUUUUAACAAUAUGAAAUCAAAUAGACCUAGAAAAAUCCAAUUGCACGUGGUCGCUAUCUGUUUAUAUUUAUAUUUAUGUUUAUAUCGGGAUAUGACCGUAGGCUGUCUUCGGAGGUCAUCUUGAUGGUUAUUUAGAUGUCGUCUAGACAAAAAUUCACACGAAACGUUGAUACAUAUUUUCGAGUCCAUACAUUCAUACUUGUUUAUUUAAGAUUUUUUGUAAUUUGGAUAUACGUUAUAAGAUGUUAUAAAUCAAAUAUGAGACUUUGAGUCAAAUCGGUGAACAUGAAUUUGACAGGUUAUGCCCCUUUAAAAAAUAAUAACAAUUUUAUAAUUAUAACCAAUCGUUUUUGUUAGACAAAAUAUAAUGCAUCAAAAUAAGUAGAAAAUAAAGAAGUUAUAGUUAUA